UACAGAGGUCUCAAGCGUUUGUUCGGAUUCAUUGGGCGUAAAGAGCUCGUAGGCGGUUUGUCGCGUCUGCCGUGAAAGUCCGGGGCUCAACUCCGGAUCUGCGGUGGGUACGGGCAGACUAGAGUGAUGUAGGGGAGACUGGAAUUCCUGGUGUAGCGGUGAAAUGCGCAGAUAUCAGGAGGAACACCGAUGGCGAAGGCAGGUCUCUGGGCAUUAACUGACGCUGAGGAGCGAAAGCAUGGGGAGCGAACAGG
rnacentral:rRNA from 1 species